GAUGCGAGCGUUAUCCGGAUUUAUUGGGUUUAAAGGGUGCGCAGGCGGUACGGAAAGUCAGCGGUAAAAUUACGGAGCUCAACUCCGCCGAGCCGUUGAAACUUCCGCACUAGAGUGAGCGAGAAGUAAGCGGAAUGCGUGGUGUAGCGGUGAAAUGCAUAGAUAUCACGAAGAACUCCGAUUGCGAAGGCAGCUUACCGUAGCAUUACUGACGCUGAUGCUCGAAGGUGCGGGUAUC
rnacentral:rRNA from 1 species